UACGUGGGGUGCAAACGUUGCUCGGAAUUAUUGGGCGUAAAGCGUGCGUAGGCGGUUCAGCAAGUCGGGUGUGAAAUCCCUCGGCUUAACCGAGGAAGUGCAUUCGAAACUACUGAGCUUGAGUACCGGAGAGGGUGACGGAAUUCCCGGUGUAGAGGUGAAAUUCGUAGAUAUCGGGAGGAACACCAGUGGCGAAGGCGGUCACCUGGACGGAUACUGACGCUGAGUGCACGAAAGCGUGGGGAGCAAACAGG
rnacentral:rRNA from 1 species